UACAGAGGUCUCAAGCGUUGUUCGGAAUCACUGGGCGUAAAGGGUGCGUAGGCCGCCCGGUAAGUCAGAUGUGAAAGCCCGGAGCUCAACUCCGGAACUGCAUCCGAUACUGCCGUGCUUGAGGACUGGAGAGGAGUCUGGAAUUCACAGUGGAGCAGUGAAAUGCGUAGAGAUGUGGAGGAACACCGAUGGCGAAGGCAGCCUCCUGGGCCAACACUGACGCUCAUGCACGAAAGCGUGGGGAGCAAACAGG
rnacentral:rRNA from 1 species